UACGGAGGGUGCAAGCGUUAUCCGGAAUCACUGGGUUUAAAGGGUGCGUAGGCGGCUAGAUAAGUCAGAGGUGAAAGUUUGUCGCUUAACGAUAGAACUGCCUUUGAUACUGUUGAGCUUGAAAGUAGGUGAGGUUGGCGGAAUGUGACAUGUAGCGGUGAAAUGCAUAGAUAUGUCAGAGAACACCGAUUGCGAAGGCAGCCGGCUAACCUGACGUUGACGAUGAGGCACGAAAGAGUGGGUAGCGAACAGG
rnacentral:rRNA from 1 species